UCAGUGGAUAGGAAAUUCCAGCUACAAUAGAGGGCAAAUCUGCUUUCUUAGUGGAAAAGAAAGUGGGCAACUGUACAGCGAGGGAAUCCAAAUUGUGAACGAGGCAGUUCACAGUGGAGAGAAACAUGAGCAGCUAGGAGAGCUUAGGGAAUUCCAGGUAGUCAGGAAUCACUGAUCAGGUCUUGAAGUGGAUAGAAGUGCAUGCAGAUAGUGGCCAGCCCAUCACAAUCUGUAAGGCUAGCAACAUAGAGGCAGAGAUCUUGAAGGCCGGAUUGCUGAACUUUGUAAGAGAAAUGCCAGUGAACUCUGGAACUCCCCACCCCCACCCCUAAUUGAAAGCAGCAACAAAAGGAUCAGAAGCUGAAUUGAAAACUGAAGCCUUUCUUCAGAUGGUCAAGACAUCAAAAGGUGCUGAACUCUGUACAAUGGGAACUGAGGGGCUGUAGUCCUGUGGAACUCCAAACUUGGUCCAUGGGACAAGUGGGCCUCCUUCGACAAAGAGGUGGGAUUCCCAGAUUCCUGAGGGACACAUCCCCAGCAGCACUGCCUUCGACUGCCCUUCUUGCAGGAAACAAUUUGCCAUCAAGGCCUUGGGCUUGUUCUAAGUGCUAUGACUA